CCUACGGGUCGCAGCAGUGGGGAAUAUUGGACAAUGGGCGAAAGCCUGAUCCAGCCAUGCCGCGUGUGUGAAGAAGGCCUUCGGGUUGUAAAGCACUUUCAGUGGGGAAGAAAGCCUUGGGGCUAAUACCCUCGAGGAAGGACAUCACCCACAGAAGAAGCACCGGCUAACUCCGUGCCAGCAGCCGCGGUAAUACGGAGGGUGCGAGCGUUAAUCGGAAUUACUGGGCGUAAAGCGCGCGUAGGCGGUCUGAUAAGCCGGUUGUGAAAGCCCCGGGCUCAACCUGGGAACGGCAUCCGGAACUGUCAGGCUAGAGUGCAGGAGAGGAAGGUAGAAUUCCCCGUGUAGCGGUGAAAUGCGUAGAGAUCGGGAGGAAUACCAGUGGCGAAGGCGGCCUUCUGGACUGACACUGACGCUGAGGUGCGAAAGCGUGGGUAGCAAACAGGAUUAGAUACCCGGGUAGUC
rnacentral:rRNA from 1 species